UAGUAGACACAGGGUUUCACCACAUUGGCCAGGCUGGUCUCAAAACUCCUGACCUCAAGUGAUCCACCCGCCUUGGCCUCCCAAAGUGCUGGGAUCACAGGUGUUAGCCACCAUGCCCUGGCCCUCACCUACAUUGGUUACUUUCUCUAAGUCAGACUGGGCUCUGUCUCUGCACAGCGCUGGGGGAGUGUGCUCCAUGUGAUGCACAGGAGCCCCACCGCCCCUACUGCCCCCGAAGGUGUGCCUUAAAGUUAUCACAAGGGAUGGAAGGUUACUUGGCCAACCUCCAAGGUGUGCCUUAAAGUUAUCACAAGGGAUGGAAGGUUACUUGGCCAACUCAGAAACCCUCAAUAGGUAAAAUAGCUCAGCAAGUGCCUAUGGCCAGCUAGGAUCAACUUUGUUGUUGUACUGCACAAAACUUUACCUCUUCCUAAUC